rnacentral:lncRNA from 1 species
CGUAGCAAUAAUAAGACAAAUGAAAUUUGACAUAUCUUAUGCUAGGUUAUAUAUAUGCUUAGUCUUUAGUUAUCUAUGUUGUAUCUUGUGUACUUUUAUUUGUUUGUUUGUCUUUUUUCCUUUUUAGCCAUGGCGUUGACAGUUUAUUUUCGAUCUAUGAGUUUGAAUGUCCUUCUUACGCUCCCUCUUUUAUGAUUAUCCUGACUAUGCGAGUUCCUUAUAGACAAGAUCGUUAAACACUUUAGUAGUAUUUGUAUGGAAUGAUUUUUGGUUGUUAGAGAACAAUUGUAUCCAUCCAAAAGAAGUUAGUUCUGACUGUCAUCUUAGCUCCGGACAUCCGUUU